UAAGACACCGUGCAGACGAUGUUGAAGUAUACUGUACCUGCGCGUCUUAGGACCACCCUGCGUCCGAGGUCGUCUCGCUCCGGGAGGGGCACCAGGUACCUGCACAGUCGUCAACAGUCAUGCAGUCGUGUGCUUUGUUCGGGGAUUGGCCAGCCAUGGCAGCGAUUGAUGCCAUGACUAGCUCCGCUAUCUUGGGCUCAUUCAUGCGGGAUUAAAUACUGCAAUCAUCGAGCAGGCAGGUUCAGCACAGAACAAGAAGGAUGGUCCAGGAAGAAGAGCUGAAGUUGGCCUCGUGAGGCGCUGGCAGCAGGAGAAGAGGACCUGGUAACCAGCAGCAAGACAUUAGGUGGGGUUGCAGUGUGGUGAUGCAGGCACACGGGGCCCUUACAAGGAGUGAGGCUAGACAGAUAAAUUAUGGACUCUUUGAGGUUGUUUCAAUGGAUGGCCUUGAGACAUAUGUUAUUGUCUCUAAAAUGUUUUUAAUUUGAUUUUAAUAUACUGUUAUAAUAA